rnacentral:rRNA from 1 species
UGUGAAGGAUUCCCAGGGGCGAGGGCGGCUAUCCGGUUCCACACUGACGUUGAGGAACGAAACCAUGGGGAUCAACCAGGAUUAGAUCCCCUGGUAGUCCAUGCCCUAAAAGAUGAGUGCUGGUGCUUAGAAAAAGUUUAGGCGCUAAGUUACCACGCUAAGCACUCCGCCUGGGGAGUACGGCCGCAAGGUUGGAACUCAAAGGAAUUGACGGGGGCCUAGACAAGUGGUGGAGCAUGUGGUUUAAUGCGAUAAUACGCGCGAAACCUUACCAGCUUUUGCAUGAUGAACUAAUUUUUUUGAGAAAAAAAAUAGAGUUUACACAGGUGCUGCAUGGCUGUCGUCAGCCCGUGUCGUAAGAUGUUAGGUUAACUCCUUUUAACGGGCGAAACCCCUGUUUCUUGUUGCUACUUUUUUGGCAAAGAAAGGAACUCUAGAAAGACUGCUCAUGGUUUUUCGAAACUUAUGAAGAGGAAGGAGGGGAUGACGUCAAGUCUUUAUGGCCCUUAUAAGCUGGGCUACACACGUGCUACAAUGGCAAUGACAACGAGAAGCAAGAGGGUAACCUGGAGCCAAUCUUUAAAAAUUGCCAAUGUUCAGAUUGAGGGCUGAAACUCGCCCUCAUGAAGGUGGAAUCACUAGUAAUCGCGAAUCAGCACGUCGCGGUGAAUUUGUACUUAGGCCUUGUACACACCGCCCGUCACGUGCCGGAAGUUGGUUUGGCUAGAAGAAUGUGACCCAACUAGAUGAGAAGAUACGUUAUAGUUUGCGUCAUUCGGAAACGUUUUUUGAACUAGGGGGAGCAU